rnacentral:rRNA from 1 species
UACGGAGGGUGCAAGCGUUAUCCGGAUUCACUGGGUUUAAAGGGUGCGUAGGUGGAUCGGUAAGUCCGUGGUGAAAUCUCCGGGCUUAACUCGGAAACGGUCAAGUCGAUACUGUCGUGCGUAGAGUACAGAAGGGGCAACUGGAAUUCUCGGUGUAGCGGUGAAAUGCGUAGAUAUCGAGAGGAACACCUGCGGCGAAGGCGGGUUGCUGGGCUGAUACUGACGCUGGAGGCGCGAAAGCUAGGGGAGCGAACGGG